UAAGAAAUGAAAUGACCUUCGCGGUCCACACAUUAAAAAGAAAAAACGAAGGUAAUUACGGAAUUUACAAGGGAAUUUAUUUACUGUAUUAUCAAUAAGAAAAGUGACAAUGUUAUUGCUUGUUU